GUGCUUGCUUUGGCAGCACAUAGACUAAAAUUGGAAUGAUCCAGAGAGGAUUAGCACGGUCUCCAUGCAAGGAGGACAUGCAAAACUCCUAAGCAUAUAGUUAAAUGU
ensembl:snRNA U6 U6 spliceosomal RNA